UAAGCAUCACAAAAAUCAUUUACAAUAUAUUUAUGAUUUUAAUUUUAAUUCAAAUGGUCUAAAAUAAAAAACCUAAAAUCAUAUUUUUCAAAAACUUGAAAACAACUCAGAAGUUACCCAAACAUUAACAAAGUUGUUGCAUUUGAUUUGUUGAUGCAGUGAUAUGUUCGUUCUUAUUUUGCAACUUUAAAUCCAGAUCUGUUAUGUUAUAAUAAACUCAAAUCUAUUUUGUGUAACUUUCUUUUACGUUUUUUUUACAACUAGUUGGAUUAUUAGAUCUACACCAUGAACUUUUCCUUUAAUAAAUCAGAUCCAAUCAAUUAGGAUGAGGAUGAAGAAAUAUUCUUUUGAUUUAUUUGUAAACCCAUAUCAAUGAUUAUGAUGGUAGAAGACAAGUUUUUUUUUUUUUUUUUUUUUUUUUUUU
rnacentral:lncRNA from 1 species